rnacentral:hammerhead_ribozyme from 1 species
AUGCGAAACCGCCGGGAGGCGGUCUGCUGGGUGUGGUGGCCUGGUACUGAUGAGCAGCCAAGG